GGGUUGUGAGGUUAAGCGACUAAGCGUACACGGUGGAUGCCCUGGCAGUCAGAGGCGAUGAAGGACGUGCUAAUCUGCGAUAAGCGUCGGUAAGGUGAUAUGAACCGUUAUAACCGGCGAUUUCCGAAUGGGGAAACCCAGUGUGAUUCGUCACACUAUCAUUAACUGAAUCCAUAGGUUAAUGAGGCGAACCGGGGGAACUGAAACAUCUAAGUACCCCGAGGAAAAGAAAUCAACCGAGAUUCCCCCAGUAGCGGCGAGCGAACGGGGAGCAGCCCAGAGCCUGAAUCAGUGUGUGUGUUAGUGGAAGCGUCUGGAAAGGCGCGCGAUACAGGGUGACAGCCCCGUACACAAAAAUGCACAUACUGUGAGCUCGAUGAGUAGGGCGGGACACGUGGUAUCCUGUCUGAAUAUGGGGGGACCAUCCUCCAAGGCUAAAUACUCCUGACU
rnacentral:rRNA from 1 species